UACGUAGGGUGCAAGCGUUGUCCGGAAUUAUUGGGCGUAAAGAGCUCGUAGGCGGUUUGUCGCGUCGGCUGUGAAAACCUGGGGCUCAACCCCGGGCCUGCAGCCGAUACGGGCAAACUAGAAUUCGGUAGGGGAGACUGGAAUUCCUGGUGUAGCGGUGAAAUGCGCAGAUAUCAGGAGGAACACCGGUGGCGAAGGCGGGUCUCUGGGCCGAUAUUGACGCUGAGGAGCGAAAGCCAGGGGAGCAAACGGG
rnacentral:rRNA from 1 species